rnacentral:rRNA from 1 species
CUUAAUUUGACUCAACGCGGGAAAUCUUACCGGGUCCGGACACACUGAGGAUUGACAGACAAAUAUGGAAAUUUUAUAUUUCUCAUAUAUAAAGAUGCUAGUUCUUUCAUGAUUAUGUGAUAGGUGGUGCAUGGCCGUUCUUAGUUCGUGGAGUGAUCUGUCUGCUUAAUUGCGUUUCAAUUUUUAUUAUGUAUACGUAUGACCCACGUUUACGCGUGCGAGUCUAGUAUGCUAUCAUUUGAAAGCAACGAACGUGACCGUAUCCUUUUAUUAUAUACGCACGCGUAUAUUUAUUCAUUAAAGGGACCGCUGUUUCUUUUUUUAAACCAGAGGAAGGUUACGGCAAUAACAGGUCUGUGAUG